rnacentral:lncRNA from 1 species
UUUUCCCUUAGCAAGUGGAAGGUGUGCAGGCAGAGAUGAGAUCGGUGUGUGCUCAGUUCUUUUAUUUCAGACUUUUUUUAGCAUAAGUCAAGCAGCUUUGAAUAAUUCUCCUUUGACUCAUUAACUGUCAAAAGCAAAUGUAGAUGGGAGGCAUAAAACUGUUUCUUUCAGAAAAGAAGAAUAUAGCUGCAAUAUAGUCUUUCUCCAUAUGGAAGCAUCCUUAAGAAGAAUCCAGGCUUAUACAUAAGCAGGCGCUGACACAUUACAUGAUGUAUUUAUAAUAAGACAGGGAAAUAUAUAGAGAACAUUUCAGUUGCCUAAACAUGAAGUGCCAUUUGAGAUAUGGUUGACUCAUCUCAUCUCCUGGUACCUCACCAGGUCUCCAGCUUGUGACCCAGGGGAGUUUUGUCAUAUCUUGUGUAAACGUACCACCUGUCCUAGGAUAUCUCAAACAGCACAAGAUACUUACGCUUAGACUCAUCUACAUGAGGUAAGCCCAGGUAGGUGAAAAUAGCAUAAAGUUUGUUCCUAGCUGGUUGAAAUACAACCUCUAGAGACACAUUAGGCCUGAAGGUUGCAUUAAAAGUCCUUGUGCACAAAGUGCUAGUUUUAGAAUCCUAAUCUGUAAUUUUUUAUAAAAUGUGAAUGAUGGAAUAAAAGUUAUGCUUAUUACAUUUUCAGACUAUGCCUCAUGGAAGAUACUGUGAGCAUUUUGGAGUGGAUGGUGGUAAAUGAGUGCUUAAAAUGGAGAAGGCAAGCUUUCUCCCUGACUUCUGCAUGUGCUGCUGCGGUUUGGGAAGGAGAUGGCAACCAACAGAGAUCUUGCUCUGACUCAGCAUCCUCAUAGGGCUCUUCUUGAGAAGGAGAAAAGGAUGCAGGAAAUGGAACAGUUUACUGAAGCCGCGUCCUCAUUGACACUGACGACUGGUGGUUUGUAUUCUGUUUUGCUGGAUCAUUGUAUGCAUUUGUCUAAACUCUCACCCAGAGAAAUAUAUAUGUAAGUUAUUAAGUAUUAACAAUAAUGCAGUAGAUUUUCUGGCUUCACUUCAUGCACAUUAACCAACACUUCCAAAAAGAUUCUGUCUUUCGUUUCUUUUAAACAAUUUUUAUAGAUGUUUAGCAUACAGAAAAUAUAAAGGUUGAGAGAUGUAUUUUCUUUUUCUCUCAUUAAUUCUGCUAGACGCAUAAAGACUGUAGAGUCAUUAACAUAUUGAUUUAGAGUAAAUAUAAAUUAACCUCAUAAUUUCUUUGGUGAAAUGUAUAGCAAAGCUUGGGGAAUAAAAGCUCGAUAAUACUGCUAGAAAAAUGUCCU